rnacentral:rRNA from 1 species
UACGUAGGGGGCAAGCGUUGUCCGGAAUCAUUGGGCGUAAAGCGCGCGUAGGCGGCCCGGUAAGUCCGCUGUGAAAGUCAAAGGCUCAACCUUUGAAUGUCAGCGGAUACUGCCGGGCUAGAGUCCGGAAGAGGCGAGUGGAACUCCUGGUGUAGCGGUGGAAUGCGCAGAUAUCAGGAAGAACACCAACGGCGAAGGCAGCUCUCUGGGACGGUACUGACGCUGAGACGCGAAAGCGUGGGGAGCGAACAGG